CUGAGGCCUGCUCAGAGAGGUAGAUCUGGAUAUGCUGUUAGGGCCAACUGUGGGAAGUCUGGCAUGAGAACAAAUACAGCCUCAAGUCUCGGGGCAAACAGGUGCUGAUACAAGUCAACAUGGGCUCAAACUAAAACCCCAAGUGUGAACUGCGCCUGAACCUUUCUGAAGAAUAAAGACUGUUCAGCAAUCGUCUUCCAGCAUGUCCAAUCUGUUACCUCUCUUCACUUCCUCAGCCGGUUGAGCAUGGGUCACCAGAACCGUGAAGAGGAUGCUUCAAUAGGCAGAAGGUAUUUCUCAAGAAAGCCAGUGCCCAGAAUUGUCCUGACCAGAGCCAGUGUGUCUGGAUGAAGUGGGGGUUAAUCCCUGUACCCAUAUGGACAAUCAGCAAUGUCUAGUAGCUGAGACUGGGUCGCGCCUGUCUUUCCCUCCUCAAAGCUGAGAAUGUCUUUGGCACCUCUUAAAGAACGAAAGGACAGAAAGUUCUGGGCCUUUGGCAGCAAGCCUCCCUGUUCAUACCCUUACUUCAGCUCUCCACUGUGGCCAGCUGGAUGUCCCAACACUCCCCAAACUCCAGGAUCACCCCAUUCUGCACCCUUACCAUGCCUGCCACUCCUCUGUGAGAACACACUCUUCCUCACACCCAUAACUCACCCUCAGAAUCCAGUCCCCUUCUCAAAGCCAACUUCAAAGCCCUUAAAAUACCUUUCCUCAGCUGUCUUCUUGAUAACUUUAAUCUCCUCGUGAAACAAGCAUUGUUCCUUA